rnacentral:rRNA from 1 species
AACGAACGCUGGCGGCAUGCCUAACACAUGCAAGUCGAACGAGACCUUCGGGUCUAGUGGCGCCCGGGUGCGUAACGCGUGGGAACCUUCCCUUAGGUUCGGAAUAACUCCCCGAAAGGGGUGCUAAUACCGGAUAAUGUCUUCGGCCCAAAGAUUUAUCGCCUUUGGAUGGGCCCGCGUUGGAUUAGCUAUUUGGUAGGGUAAAAGCCUACCAAGGCGACGAUCCAUAGCUGGUCUGAGAGGAUGAUCAGCCACACUGGGACUGAGACACGGCCCAGACUCCUACGGGAGGCAGCAGUGGGGAAUAUUGGACAAUGGGCGAAAGCCUGAUCCAGCAAGGCCGCGUGAGUGAUGAAGGCCUUAGGGUUGUAAAGCUCUUUUACCCGGGAUGAUAAUGACAGUACCGUGAGAAUAAGCGCCGGCUAACUCCGUG